AUAACCUACGGGACGCAGCAGUGGGGAAUAUUGCACAAUGGGGGAAACCCUGAUGCAGCGAUGCCGCGUGGAGGAAGAAGGUUUUCGGAUUGUAAACUCCUUUUAUCAGGGACGAUAAUGACGGUACCUGAAGAAAAAGCUCCGGCUAACUACGUGCCAGCAGCCGCGGUAAUACGUAGGGAGCGAGCGUUGUCCGGAAUUACUGGGUGUAAAGGGCGUGUAGGCGGGACUGCAAGUCAGAUGUGAAAAUUAUGGGCUCAACCCAUAACCUGCAUUUGAAACUGUAGUUCUUGAGUGAUGGAGAG
rnacentral:rRNA from 1 species